ACAUCUUGAUGAUCAAGACUAUUCAAAUUGACGCGCGCUACCAAUUCGAAGUAGAGAAAAUUUCAAGAGAAAGCCAGCAUGUCGAGAAGAAGAGUUAUACUCCCAGGGAGAUUUGCCGACGAAAACAGGUGGUAUGUGAUACGAUUCUCGCAGACAAAUUAGAGGAGACAGGGGAAACGAGGGAGGAGAAAGUCCAAGCGCCUUAGACAGAUGGUGUCAUGUAUCAUAUGGAGAGAUUGAAUUUGAAAGUGCAUUUGCCAUUACAACAUUGGGGAUGGACAACAUAGACAUUCAUGAUUGUGAAAGCUAUAAAUACAGACUGGAACCAUGUACUGUGCUGUUAAAGAAAAUAGACUAUCUAAGUAGACGUCCAGUGCAUUAUUUCAUUUAAUUCAAAAGUCAACAUUGUGUAAUUUUUUUCAUGGAUGACAUUGAUUAUUUGAUCUGAAUUUGCAAAAAUUGGAUUGAGUGGGAAUAAGUGCUGUGAUUUCAAAUGAAAGCCAUGAUAGACACAUUGCUUUUUCAUCCAGAUGUAAGUAAAAUCAUAAAUGCAUGUUUUCAAUUCAUAUAUUGAAAAUUCAGUUUAUUGGAAAUGACUGACUUGUGGGUAAUUAUUAUUAAUUUUUUUUUAUAAUUAAAAAACUUAUAUUAUUGGGAACAGUAUAAAUCUAUGGCCAAUUCUCUAAAUUUGAUGUGUUUUUUAUGCAUAUUAAAUCAAUAUAAAUUGAUUUAUUUGUUAUUGAUGGUGUUGCAUAUAGUCAUAGAUUAUACUUUAACUAAAUGGUCUAGUGUGUAGUUUUUUGGCAAGGUAAAAGACACUUUUCAUGAAAGAAACCUACAAGCUACUGAAAAGUAUUAUCCUUUUAGUCACUAGCUGACUAGCUGUAAUUUUAUUCUAAGUAAUACUGGUAGAAAGUGGUGUGGUGUACCAGUUUACUAGACCAUGGUGAUAGUCCUUAUGGUAAUUAAUUUACUGCUUUCAGUGGGUUAAAUUACAAGCAUGCAUGAGAUAUGAAGAAGCACCAGUGAUUACAUUCUUUUAAAAAUAACCAUUGAUAUUUUAAAAAUGAAAUUGUCAUCAACUGAUUUUCUAUCAUAAAUCAUGUAAAUGCAAGUCAUUCCUCUUUUAAUUAACUGAUAUGAAUGCUAGAUGCAAGUUCAUAAUUAAUGUGUUCAUAAUUAAUGUAUUUAUGGCCAUUUGGGAGUUUUAGGGAGGUAUAUUUGAAAGCUGCCAGAGGUUUGCCACAAACUAUAUUAGGCUAUCUGAAAAUGUUUGCCAAAGGUUCGCCGCAAAGUGUAUAUGGCUAUCAGAAGUUUACCAAAGGUUAACCGCAAAACUUCACCAGAGGUUCACCAUAAACCAUUCCAUAUAUGGCAAUCUCAAGUUUGCGGCAAGUUUACCGCAAACUUCAUUUGCAUGGUAAAAAGUCGCCGUAAGGUUGCUGCAAACAGUCUGCCGUAACCUUGCCGCUAAGUUUGCAGCAGAUUCGCCGCAGUACUUCGCCAGAAGCCUUAUUUUUUGGUAAGGGCUUGCUUGUCCACGGACCAAGGACAAAAUCCACCU